rnacentral:rRNA from 1 species
AUGUGCUUGCAUGUUAUCUUUGUGACGACCUCCAGAGGGUGUUCAGUGCAAACCAUCGAAGAAUAUAUUCUAAAGAAGCUCCGAAUACCAGAAGGUGGUAAUGUGGAAUGUCAACGCCAAAUCAUUUAUGAAUUCCUAAAGAUCAGAAGCUUUCUCAUACUGUUGGAUGACCUUUGGGAGCAAAUAGAUCUACAAGCAGUUGGUGUACCAUAUCCCCUUGGAAUUGUAAACCAGCUUGAGAGAAAAGUGGUUCUUACAACAAGAUUAAGAAAAGUCUGUGGUGAAAUGGAGGUGAGUGAAGUGUUAAAAGUCGCUUGUCUACAAGAGACAGAUGCAUGGCAAUUAUUCAAAGAAAAAGUCAGUGGGGAAACACUUUCUUCAAGUCCUCGUAUCGAAACCCUUGCAAGAGAACUUGUGAAAGAACUGAAGGGUCUGCCAUUAGCUUUGAUAGUUAUCGGAAAGGCAAUGUAUCCAAAAACCGAUCCGAUUGAAUGGGAAUAUGCCAUCCAACAUAUGCAUCGGUCAUGCUGUAUCAAGGAUAAUCCCUUGUCGCUAGAAAAUGUUUUCGGACAACACAAAUUUAGUUAUGACAAUUUACGGAAUGACACCUUGAAACAUUGUUUCUUGACUUGUGCACUAUGGCCAGAGGAUUGGGAGAUUAUCAAAGCUGAUCUCGAUCAAUGUUGUAUUGGAUUAGUUCUAGUGGAUGAAUGUGAUAUUCGAAGAUCCUACACAAAGGCAUAUAGUAUAAUAGGAGACCUUAGAGAUGCAUGCCUGCUAGAGAACUGGGGAAAUUGGUAUGGUUUUGUUAAAGUGCAUGAUGUUAUUCGUGGUAUGGCUUUAUGGAUCUCUUGUGGCUAUGGUGAUGACAAUAACAAGUGGUUUAUCCGCGCAGAAGCUGGCGCAGAAGAAAGUAUUAGCAUCCCUUGGAGCAAACCUGAGUACAUUUCACUGAUGUUGAAUGGAAUGAAGAAACUUCCUCCCUUUGGCUUUGAUCAUCGCCCCAUGAAAUUGACGGUGUUAUGCCUUCAACAUAAUUAUUUCGAUGGAAGCAUAGCUGAAACAGUCAAGAAUUUCACUUCACUGACAUAUCUGGAUUUGAGGACGAACCUUCUCAAGAACAUAUGUGAAGAAUUAUGUUCCUUGGCAAACUUGGAGUACUUUGAUUUGUCUCAUAAUCCCAACAUAUGUGAAUUGCCUCACUACUUUCGAAACCUCACUAAGCUCAAGUUCUUGUACCUAUUGUGCACUAUCAUACGAAGAGUACCAGAGGAGGUCAUAUCUAACCUUAAAGCAUUGCAAGUAAUAGACUUGAGGACUUGCCGGGCAUAUGUUGGAGGAGGCCCUGUGAACUUUAUCCCUAACAUAUUCCAAGAGUUGGGUACCCUUGACCACUUCAAAGCAGCUGGAAUUGAGGCUGAUGGUUUUGAUGAGUAUGAAACACUAAGAGAAGCUGCUAAACUCCCCAUUAGGUCUUUAAGACUGGGGAGUCUCAAAAGAACACAUGAGUUCGGCCUCUCUGACAUUCUUUCAAUUAAAUUUGCACGCAGGACCUUGUAUGAACUGGAUAUUAUACAGAGUAACAUGGAGCAGAUAAUUGUAAGAGACGAGUCAAGCUAUCAUUUUGGUGCUCUGAAUAAGCUCCUCUUGUGGUUUUUGGUAAACUUGAGAGGGUUAAGAUGGCUGGGUAGAUCUCCAACAUCCAUAUUUCCAAAGCUCACUUGUUUGGAUGUGAAUAGCUGCUCCAAGCUAGAGAACCUCUCCUGGGUGAUGUACGUGCCCUGCCUUGAACAUCUCGAGGUACGUUUCUCCAACAUUAUGGCGGAAGCAUUUCCGGGGACAGAGCACCACGGUGAAAUAAUGAGCAUGGAUCAAGAAAGUUCAAUGAAAUCAAAUGGUACAUUUUCUUGCCUGAAAUAUUUGCACCUUUCAGACAACCCAAAGCUGGUCACCAUCUACGAUGACAAUGUGAUGUUCCCGUUUCUGGAGCAGCUGGUGCUCACAAAAUCUCCAGAGUUGAUUAGGCUCCCUUUCCGGAUGCACCGCUUGCCGCUAAAGCUGCAGGAGCUACAGUUUUAUGAUGUUGAAUGCUGGGACAGAUUGGAAUGUGACGAAGGUGUCAAGUAUUUCCUGUAA